UUCAACAAGAAAUUGGGAUCCGUUUCCGGAAGGAAAAGAUUCCCUUUCUUUGGUACCAUGAAAUCGAAAGCAUAUUGAAGGCGUCUACAUAAGUAGCUGCAAAUUACUUGAUAAUGAAAAAGGGGAAAUAGUAACUAUACUGGAGAAACCCUGGGAACACCACAAUAACCGAUGGUCCUGGUCCGCGUGAACUCAACAACAGGACAAACUGACCUCCAUCUCACCCUCCCGAUGUGAUCCACUGAGGACGCAGCAGCAUCGUCCACUCAGCAAUGCAUAGAAUUUAUCUGAUGAGACAAGAGAAACCCAAGCUGAGGGACAUCUUCGGAGUAACUGGUCUGCACCCGUUCUUUGUCUUCAUGACAAAGAAAAGCUGAAGAACUGUUGCUGAUUAAAAGAGAGCUAGGGAACAAAUCCAGGGCCUCAUACACAUUCUCUAUCUCUGAAUUGUACUCCUAGACUCCUGACAAAUCGUAAAAUCUACAUUCAACAAGCUGAAGACUCAAGAAAGCUAAUGGUUUUCCUCCAGUCUAAAGGACCUUGGGACUGAAGAAUCUCCACCCUAUUUGCCAGUUAGUUCAUUUGGGGCAAGAUGUGGCAAUCCAACUGGCUUCGGCAGUCUCUUCUAUAAAAUGAGAGUGAUUAUAACUAUGGUG